UACGUAGGAGGCUAACGUUAUCCGGAUUUACUGGGCGUAAAGAGGGCGCGGGCGGUUUUGUAAGUCGGAUGUGAAAUCUCUCCACUUAAUGGGGAGCCUUCGUUUGAUACUACAAGACUUGAGGGCAGCAGAGGGAAGUGGAACUCCAGGUGUAGCGGUGAAAUGCGUAGAUAUCUGGAAGAACACCAGUGGCGAAAGCGACUUCCUGGGCUGUUCCUGACGCUGAGGUCCGAAAGUGUGGGGAG
rnacentral:rRNA from 1 species